rnacentral:lncRNA from 1 species
CCCGCCCGCACCCCGACCACUCCUUCCUUCUCGCCUCCUUCCCUCCCUCGCUGCCCUGCGCCUCCCUUUCCCGAUUCUGCCUCCCAGCCUUCCUCCGUCUCGCGCGCUCCUUGCAGGUCCGCGUCCAUACCGUCCAGCCCCAGCCCAGCCCGCAGGUGGGGGACAGUCGCGGCCGCUGUCCAGGUCCGGUCUCCGACGCUCGAGGACAGAAGCAGCCACGGGCAGGAGCAGAACCAGCCCCCGGGGAGCCUCCUGGACCCUCCCACGCGGCAGGUUCCGCCGAACCCGGUACUCGCAGCUGCCAACUUCUCCGAGCCUUCUUCCUCCUCCCCUUUUCCGAGAUCCCAGCCGGGUUCGUGUUUCGCAAGGUGCAUUUUGAAAGGAGAACGAAAAUAUGUCUCUCCUGUAUCAAAAUGCAGCCGUAGAGACCCGGAAGGUUCCGCGGCAGUGUCUGAUGUGUGCACCUUUGAAUGUCAGAGGGAAGAACCAAGCUUUGUUAUUUUCAGGCUUAGGUGAGCUCCAACUGUAGCAUGGAUCCCUUAGGAGACGUACUAAUGGGGGGCAAAAGUUCUAUCAGGAGGUAAGAGGAGUUAUUACUUUGUCCAUUACCCGCCUGGGAUUUGUUCAUCGUCUGUCCGAAGUUUUUCAGUCUCGCCUGCGUUUUUAAGGCUUUUGCGUGUGUUAGCGACUACGAUGGCAAGUGGACAGUGUGUAAACUAACCUGCCCUCCUAUAGAUUUCCGACAGUCAGUCAGCAAAACAUCCUGACUAAUACACAGAAAGGAAUUCAGUCAUUGAAGCGAAGGUAGCGUGUUAACUCUGCCUUGACUCUGAGAAACGCCAUCUUCAACUCUAAGGGCAGCCAAGCUUUCCCAGGUGUGGGCGCCUUACCUUCCCCGAGUUUUUGGUGGGUGGAUUGUGUGCCUGUCUCAUAGUUUUUAAAGAGCCAAGUCUUCAGUCCUGAAUCCUACUGUGUAAAAGCAAGGGCGCAUUGAGUUUAAGUUGAGAAAGUCAGAUGAAAGUAAAAAUUUUGGUCUGAUUACUUCAUUGCCUCUGCAUCUGAGGCAAGGGUGUUUACUUGUGAAUUACCUUAUUGUUGACUUGUGGUCACCCAAAUACAGUACAAACAAAACUAUGCAUUUCAUAAUAAUAGACAGGAACAUGUAUUUAAAUUAAUGAACGCGUUCAGCAGGUUUUUAUAGUUCCACUUUGUGUUUCAAGGUCAUACUUUUUCUGUCUUAAAGUGGGUUUAUAAACAUUUAAGUUGUAUUAUCCUAAAUUUUAAUAGUAGAGAAAAUAAGAGCAAAGAGAGAAACCGAAUUGCGCAAAGUUAGACGCCGAGAAAGAACUUCAGCAUUUCUAACUUGAUUUAUUGCUUCAAAUCCUGUACCCAUGCUUUCCUGUCUCCAGUAUGACACAAAUGAAGCCUCCGUCUUCAUUAUUGACUUUUCCCAGCUAUGUGAUUGAACUCACUCCAUCCACUUUCCUACCCCCACUCUGUUGUUUGCUUUACAGCUGCUAGUGUGACCCAUCAAAUGUAAUACACACAUUUUGAAAUGAAUUGGUAGUCACUUUCUCUUUGUUAUCAAAGAGCAUGUGACAAUAAAGGGAUUAAGAAUUAAGUUCCAAAGAUCAUAGAAGCUGACUGAGUGAUAUGGCUCAAAGAGACCCCAGAUAUUUGUCAAUGAAUCCCCUUCCUCUGGAAAGAAGUAAUAAAAUCGUGACUGUUUCUUCAGUUCUUACUAUUUGCUAGGCAUCAUCUCGUAUAAACCUUACAACAACCAUGUGAAUAGGUAUUAUGCUCCCCAAUUUUCAGUUGAGGAAACAGACAAAAGAAAUUAGGUAAAUGCCUAAAAUGUUAGAGCUAAGAUUCGAACUUCAGUCUAAUUUCAAACCAUCACUCCUAUCAGUGUGUAAUAUUGCUUCUAAUCAAAUCAUUCCUCAUACAUUCAUAUACUAUCACUUACACACCAGCCCAGUCUUUCAAAUCUUCACAUUAGUUUCAUGAAAUUGUAAUUCCUAGAUCUAUCCAAGACUGAGACAAGAAAGCAGAAAUCUACAAAGUAGCUACUGAAGUUAUAUAUUUUUAAUAAAUAACAUUUAAUUAUAAUAUUCCAUGUUAAGUGUGUUCACACGCAUGCACAUAGGAAGACCCUAGAUUUUUAUCAUAAAAGAUUACAUCCCAAAUUUGUUCUUGGUAUAAGUAAGACUUCACCAUUCUUCAGAACGUUAACACUGUUAGCAGACAUGAACAAAUGAACUAACUGGGACAUGAUGGUCAAGAUUUGCAUCUAGGCACAUACCUAAUGUGGGAAUAUAGACUCAUGCACCAGAAAAGCGUUCAAAUGUAGCUGAAGGUCAUGGCUAAAAUCCUAAAUGUGGCUUUGAGAUGUCAGGAAUAGGACAGAGAUCAACGGGCUGGGACAAGAGUGGAAGGUGGUAAUAGGAAACAGCACAGCUCUUCUCUCCAACCUGCCCAAUAUCAGCUCAUACAAUUUUAUUAUAAUAUAAUUGCUUACAUUCGUUGAGCCCUUACUAUAUAUGCCAGGUGCCGUGUCAAAUACAUAGUAUGCUUUGCCUUUUUUAAUCCUUAUAAACACCUUCAUGGGACAGGUAACUUCUUUAAUAUCCAUAUAUUACAGGUAAAGGAACUGAGGUACAGGGGCCAGCCUGGUGGCACAGUGGUUAAGUGUGCACGGUCUGCUUUGGCUGCCCAGAGUUCACCGGUUCAGAUACCAGGUGCGGACAUGGCACCACUUGGCAAUAGCCAUGCUGUGGCAGGCUCCCACGUAUAAAGUAGAGGAAGAUGGGUACGGAUGUUAGCUCAGGGCGAGUCUUCCUCAAAAAAAAAAAAAAAAAAAGAAGCUGAGGUACAAAAAGUUUUGCAAUUUUCCCAAGAAAGCUGCAGAGUUAAUAAUAACAGAGAAAACUGAGAUUUGAACCUAAACAGCCUAUUGCCUGAAGCCAAGCAUUUGACCACUACCCAUACUCCUCCAACAGAAUUUCCUAAUGUUUUAAGCAUAAUUGAUCUUAAAUAUAGAAGAUUAGGUGGCCCUUUGUGUGGCAUCAUUUUUUUUAUUGUGUUAGAAUACACAUAACAUGAAAUUUACCAUCUUAACUAUUUAUAAGUGUACAGUUCACUGUUAUUAAAUACAUUCACAUUGUUGUACAACCAUUGCCACCAUCCAUCCCCAUAAUUCUUUACGUCUUGUAAAACUGAAACUCUAAUGCAUUAUACAAUAACUCCCGAUUCUCCCCUCCCCACAGCCCCUGGCAACCACCAUUCUACUUCUGUCUUUAUGAUUUUGACUACUCUAAGUACCUCAUAUAAGUGGAAUUAUACAGUAUUUGUCUUUUUUGUGACUGGCUUAUUUCACUUAGCAUAAUGUCCUCAAGAUUUACCCAUGUUGUAGCAUAUUGCAGAAUUUCUUUCCUUUUUUAAGACUGGAUAAUAUUCCACUGGGUGUAUAUACCACAUUUCGCUUAUCCGUUCAUCUGUCAGUGGACACUUGGGUUUUAGCUAUUGUAAAUAAUACUGCUGUGAACAUGGGUGUACAAAUUGUGUGGCAUCAUUUUAAAGGUAUAUUAAAAAGGAGCCAGAAGAGGAGGAGGAGGAAGAGAAGAAAAGGAAGCCAACAUUUAUUUAGUACCUACUAUAUGUUCGGCAAUGUGCUAUAUACUUCCUACAAAUGAUCUCAAUAUAUGAAUGCUUAUGAGAGACAACCUUCCUGUCAUACGUUACUCACUCUGCCAGAUGAUGGCUGAGGUUUCACCAUUAGAUAUUACUAAAGAAAAAUUUCACUAUACCUUACUUCUUCAUCAUGUUCAAUUUAAUUUGAGUGUGUUCCUCAGAUUCUUUCCUGAGAACGAGCUUUAACAAUGAUAAGUAAGUAGUGACCAUGAGUGCAGUAAAACCUGGAAAAGUAGAGGAGAAAGGAAAAAAGUCACCCCUAUAAGGAAGAAAAGCUCACCAAAAAAGAGAAGGGCAAGGCCUUGUGAGCUUCAUGUGCGUAAACUGGUUCUGCUUAUAAAUUUACCUAAACUAGAAGGGUAAGAGCAGCUGAGGCUCUUCAAAGUGUGCCGCUGUGAUGACCAAGGAUGUAAAUACACGUUAUAGUCUAACAAAGAUGUUUCAGACCCAGAGAGAGGUGUCCUGGUAGAUGAUUAGGUCAGAUUACCAUUACUUUUACUGCUUCCAACAUUAUGUUUGGUCUGACAAUUCUGUUUAUAAACACACAUGCAGACCUACUUCUAUUUAUAUACAUACAUAACCCUUCUUCCCCACAAUGUCCUUGAAGACAGGAAUUGUGUCUUUUAUUUUCCUUUUACUCAUCUCUUAUUUAGUAAUAUGGUAUAUACAAUCAAACAACAAUUUUCUCUUGGGGUUACUGACCUGAGUUAACAUAUGUUCCUAAAGGGAAAAUCUGAAGAUGUUCGAGAGAUGAAUUGUUAACACAAGAACUCAAUACUGAGGCAGGUAUACAGAAUGAGGAAGCAUCUCCCCCCUUCAAACCUUGGAAUCUACCGGUGGUCAUCAAAGUUCUCUGAAGAUGGUAGCAGGUAGAGUGGAAAGAGCUUGGGCUUUGAGGCAAUAAAGAGCUAGAUUUUCAAUUCUGGCACCACUACCUACUUAGCUGUGUGGUCUUGGGUAAGUUACUUAAACUUUCUUGUGCCUUAGUUCCCUGUGCUGAAAAUGAGGUUAAUAAUACCCACCUUAUGCACAGUAGAGAAAAUAUAAACAGCAAUGUUGUAUUAUAAUCAUCAAAAUUGCUAAGAGUCUGGAACUUAAUUAUUCCAACUACUAAAAAGAAAGGAUAAUUAUGUAAGAUGAUAGAGGCGCUAAUUAUCACUACAAUGGCAACCAUAUUACAAUAUGUAAGUGGCUCAAAUUAACAUGUACACCUUAAAUCUACACAAUGUUAUAUGUCAAAUAUAGUUCAAUAAAAAUAAUAAUAAAAAAACAUACCCACCUCAUAGGUUUGUCAAAUAGAUUGUCAGGUUCUUUCUACCUCAGCACUAUUGACAUUUGGGACUGGGUAAUUCUUUGAUGAGGGGUGGCUGCCCUAUGCACUGUAGGAUGUUUAGCAGCAUCUCUAGCUCCUACCCACUGGAUGCCAGUAGAACUACCUUUCCCCCCCAAGUUGUGACAACCAAAACUGUCUCCAAAGAUUGCCAAAUACACUUGGAGGGGCAAAAUUGCUCCUGCUUGAGAAUCACUGGAUGAAAUUAGUUAAAUGUGAUGCAUAUAACAGACAUAAAAGGCUUAGAACCUAGUAGGCACUCAAUAAAUUAUAGAAAUUAUAGUUACAUAUGACUGGUGAUAAAUCAGUGUAGCAUUGCAAAAUGGAAUGCUAUUGAAAACUAAACUCCCUAAAGACUGUCAGAAUUCUCAGGAACAUUGGAUUCCGUCAUUCCUUCUGAAGUUAUUUGCUUGUAUUUGGACUGGAUGAAAAGGAGGAAAUUCAGGGGUUCUUCCAAUUAUAAGAUAAUUUUGAUUUGGAGGCAGAGCUAGAUUUUUGUGUAGUGGAAACGUCCUUACUCUUUUUGCAUUGAAAUAACAUUUGAAAGCUGUUUUUCAGUUCCUCUCACUUUCAGAUCAUCACCAGUGGUACAGUCUUAACAACUGUGUCCAGAUGGGAUGUGGCUCCCUGAUGGGUCUUCUGUAACUUAAAGGUAAUUCCUCAUAAAAAAUCUUAAAGAUCCUCAGUCUGUACAAAAUGGGGACUUAUUAAUGCUACUAAUGAACUGGAGCAAUUCCAAACAAUAUUCAGAGUACAACUUUGUCAUGAAUAUAAAAGCUAAUAAAUCUGGAAUUUUCUAAAACUGCUGUUCAUGAAAGGUUAUUUAUAUUGAUUCUCUUUUCAUUUUCCUACUGAAGCUUUUUAGAAGAAGAGAAUUCAUAGCACCAGAUUAAAUUUUCAUUGGUGAUAUCAUGCUGAAAGCCAGAUGCUAUUUAUAGAAUUAAAAUUGUGGUUUUAUAUGUUUGAACUCUAAGAAGAAAAGUGGUGGGGUUUUUUUCUUCAGAUGAAUUCUAUACUAAUUUAUAUGCUAUUUAGAAGACUUACAUUUAGAAAGUCAGUCAAGUACAGUAAGUGGAACGUAGGUUAUUCACUUAUUUAUAACUAUUUUCCCCAAAAUAGAUAAUUUGUAAUAAAAACAUGUAAAUCAGGAGGACAUUCGAAAUAAAGAAUAAGAAGAGACACUGGAUGGGAAAUUGUUAUUGCACCUGGGAAGUAAAAGUAAUUCUGAGUGUCUUGGCCCUCAAAGUCCAACAGGUUGUGUUAUUCUCAUGGUCUGAUAUCUGAUAGAAGUCAAGAUACAAGUUCACCGGGAAAGAAAAACCAUCCUCCCUCCACCCCAAUCCUGGAAGAGUUUUCCACUCAAAGCCUGGAUCCCUGUGUCUCCCAGAGUAACUGGAACUUCCUCACUUCAAAGACUGUUGAGAAGCAAUACUGAUGAAAUGAUGGCAAAACACUCUGGAACUCUUAUUUGCAUGUGCAAAAAUUACGUUUAAAGGUAUGUAUGAAAAUCAUCUAAAUCCUUUCUGGAACAAAGCAUAUCAUGCUAAUUAAAAUCAAAUUGACAAAUACGUAUCAUGAUUU